rnacentral:rRNA from 1 species
UACGUAGGUGGCAAGCGUUGUCCGGAUUUAUUGGGUUUAAAGGGUGCGUAGGCGGUUUUUUAAGUCAGUGGUGAAAUACGGCAGCUCAACUGUCGAGGUGCCAUUGAUACUGGGAAACUUGAGUACUGAUGAGGUAGGCGGAAUGGACGGUGUAGCGGUGAAAUGCGUAGAUAUUGGGAGGAACACCAGUGGCGAAGGCGGCUCACUGGACCGGUACUGACGCUGAUGCGCGAAAGCGUGGGGAGCAAACGGG